UGGCUUGUAGUUCAACAGGUAGAACGCUUGACUGUUAAUCAAGUAGUUGUAGGUUCGAGUCCUAUCAAGUCAG
rnacentral:tRNA from 1 species